GGAUUAUCAGUUCCCGAGGGUAUAAACAUCUCAGUAGUCAGUGCUUUGGUCUCAACUCCAUCGGAAAAAUGUUACCUUCUGACAGAUUGCACAAAAGAUAACACGAUUGAUGAAACAGCAAAACUGCUCAAGUCUGCAAUUUUUAACAAUGCUUUCUCACUGAUAUGAGUUUCCUGAUAGAGUGUAAUAUUUUAAUUUACUCUACAACUGACUCAUUUCAUUGUUUUGCAACAUAUCUUCAGCAAAGUAAUGGAACUGGCAAAUGGACAUAUUACAGGCUAAGCUAAUAAAAAUUAAAGUAUGGUAUGGAGAACUGAAAUAACAAAAAUUGACAAGGUAAAUGUUGGUACAGGAUUGCUUAUAAAAGUAGAACAUCAUAUUAAAAUUUAUUUGAUUAGAUGACAAGUGGUUAUGGUAGUCAUUCUUUAUG